rnacentral:rRNA from 1 species
AGUGAACGAGGGAGGGAGGCAGAACACAUGCAAGUCGAACGGCAGCACAGUAAGAGCUUGCUCUUACGGGUGGCGAGUGGCGGACGGGUGAGGAAUACAUCGGAAUCUACUUUUUCGUGGGGGAUAACGUAGGGAAACUUACGCUAAUACCGCAUACGACCUACGGGUGAAAGCAGGGGAUCUUCGGACCUUGCGCGAUUGAAUGAGCCGAUGUCGGAUUAGCUAGUUGGCGGGGUAAAGGCCCACCAAGGCGACGAUCCGUAGCUGGUCUGAGAGGAUGAUCAGCCACACUGGAACUGAGACACGGUCCAGACUCCUACGGGAGGCAGCAGUGGGGAAUAUUGGACAAUGGGCGCAAGCCUGAUCCAGCCAUACCGCGUGGGUGAAGAAGGCCUUCGGGUUGUAAAGCCCUUUUGUUGGGAAAGAAAAGCAGCAGGUUAAUACCCCGCUGUUCUGACGGUACCCAAAGAAUAAGCACCGGCUACCUUCGUU